rnacentral:rRNA from 1 species
UACGGAGGGGGCUAGCGUUGUUCGGAAUUACUGGGCGUAAAGCGCACGUAGGCGGCUUUGUAAGUUAGAGGUGAAAGCCCGGGGCUCAACUCCGGAAUUGCCUUUAAGACUGCAUCGCUAGAAUUGUGGAGAGGUAAGUGGAAUUCCGAGUGUAGAGGUGAAAUUCGUAGAUAUUCGGAAGAACACCAGUGGCGAAGGCGACUUACUGGACACAUAUUGACGCUGAGGUGCGAAAGCGUGGGGAAUAAACAGG